GUUGGCUGCCCUAUGUGUGCGCACGUGUGCUUGGGGCAAAAGAGAAAUAAAUAGCAGCCACUUCUCUUCGUGAAGCAAAAUGUCAUGAUUUUUUUUUUUAUCUCUUCCUCUUUGCGAGUGAACAGCCAUCUUCUCUUCCUCUUUGUGAGAUAUUAUCCUUUUCGGUUGUACAUAUACUUAGGUAACCUUAGUAAAUAUUUUUUAGGUUGAGCUUUGGAUUUUGGAGGAUCUUUGUGGUGUUGAUAUUGGAUUUAUAAACUAAGCCCCUUUAUGUGCAUCAAUUGAAGGUACUUCCCAUGGUGAACGAACGGAAACCAUAUUUCGACUCUAGAUGACGAGGCGGAGCUGCAUAGCAGGCGCGUAGAGUAGCAAAGGCAAUGGUGCGUGCAGCACAUGAGCAGAGACUGAGGCGUGAUAGAGGUCUUUGAAGCCAGUUUGUUCCUGUCUGUAUUCUAGACCUACUAGUGGUGUUACUUUUGUGUUUCGUGUGGUUUGCUAGAAUCUUUAUAAUUUUACCUUUGCAUCUUCGGUUGUCAGGUGCCUUUUUCUUUCUUGUAGUUGCAAAAUGUUUUAGGGUAAAUAAUGGUGGCUCCUUACUAUAAUUUUUUUUUUCUCUCCUUUAUUUACAGUUUGACAGAUUGGUCCAGUCGAUAAAUUGGUCAAUCUAUUUUACCUUCUCAUACUAGCAGGCCAUCGUGUUGAGUGAUCAUUAGGUUUGAAGUUACCAUGAGGGGUAAUAUCGCUUGUUGCUAGAACUUAGGAAUUAUUUGCCCUAUUUUUACGUGUUUGAAAUGUUGAAAAUUGUUAAUUUUUAUUGCUGAAAAUUGCACAUUGAUUUUGUACUAUAAUUGUUGGGUGAUUACAUCAUGAGACUUGCAAUUAGUAAGAAAAUUUUG
rnacentral:lncRNA from 1 species